CCUACGGGGGGCAGCAGUGGGGAAUAUUGCACAAUGGGGGGAACCAGCCAAGUCGCGUGAGGGAUGACGGUCCUAUGGAUUGUAAACCUCUUUUGUCAGGGAGCAAAGGGCGCCACGUGUGGCGCUUUGCGAGUACCUGAAGAAAAAGCAUCGGCUAACUCCGUGCCAGCAGCCGCGGUAAUACGGAGGAUGCGAGCGUUAUCCGGAUUUAUUGGGUUUAAAGGGUGCGCAGGCGGAAUGUCAAGUCAGCGGUAAAAUUUCGGGGCUCAACCCCGUCGUGCCGUUGAAACUGGCGUUCUUGAGUG
rnacentral:rRNA from 1 species